UACGUAGGUGGCAAGCGUUGUCCGGAUUUACUGGGCGUAAAGGGCGCGUAGGCGGCCUGCUAAGUCGAACGUGAAAUCCCCGGGCUCAACCCGGGAACUGCGUCCGAUACUGGCAGGCUUGAAUCCGGGAGAGGGAUGCGGAAUUCCAGGUGUAGCGGUGAAAUGCGUAGAUAUCUGGAGGAACACCGGUGGCGAAGGCGGCAUCCUGGACCGGCAUUGACGCUGAGGCGCGAAAGCGUGGGGAGCGAUCCGG
rnacentral:rRNA from 1 species